CCCUUAGAUGUCCGGGGCUGCACGCGCGCUACACUGAAGGAAUCAGCGUGCUAAAACCAUUGUCGAAAGGCAUUGGUAAACCCAUUAAAAUCCUACGUGAUUGGGAUCGGGAAUUGCAAUUAUUUCCCUUGAACGAGGAAUCCCCAGUAAGUGUGGGUCAUAAGCUCGCGUUGAUUACGUCCCUGCCCUUUGUACACACCGCCCGUCGCUGCCCGGGACUGAGCCGUUUCGAGAAAAGCGGGGACUGCUGCUGUCGGGGCUUUCGGGCCUUGGCUUCGGUGGAAACCGCUUUAAUCGCAGUGGCUUGAACCGGGCAAAAGUCGUAACA
rnacentral:rRNA from 1 species